rnacentral:rRNA from 1 species
UACGGAGGGGGCGAGCGUUAUUCGGAAUUAUUGGGCGUAAAGGGCGCGUAGGCGGUUCGGCAAGUCGGAUGUGAAAUCUCCACGCUUAACGUGGAGGGGCCAUUCGAAACUGCUGUGACUCGAGUCCGGUAGGGGAGUGUGGAAUUCCCGGUGUAGCGGUGAAAUGCGCAGAUAUCGGGAGGAACACCAGUAGCGAAGGCGGCACUCUGGGCCGGAACUGACGCUGAGGAGCGAAAGCGUGGGGAGCGAACAGG